UAGAAAGCUGACUGGGAAGAGAGCCCAGGAGACAGGGUGGUUACAGGAAAUAAUAGGCAGUGAGCGAAAAGGAGAGGAGCCUAAGGAACAGAGGGAAGAGACCCAUCUCUGUGGAGAAAGAGGUGGCACGAAACCAGGGGGAAUUUCGCCUAAGGACAGGAAGAGUCAUGCACUGCAGAGGCAUCCGUGUCGGGGGAAGCUGAACGGGAGAGCGGCUUCUCCUUUUGUUAACGUGUCGGAAAGGUUUUCCAUCAGGAUUUCCACUUGCUCACAGUGAUGAGCCAACAAACAGAGAUGCCAUUUCUGCAAAACGAAAAGAUGGAACUUCACCUUGCUGCAGCAUCAGGCUCCAUCCUCCCCAACUUCUUCAAUAUCAGUAGGUUUUCUUUGUUGUCUUUAAAACAAACAAAUAUAUUUUAUAUCCUCACAGGUGGAAUUGGAAUGUUAAACAAGUCCACAUUUAAUGCAGUGGAUCAUUGUGA